rnacentral:tRNA from 1 species
GGCCGGGUGGCGUAAUGGCAACGCGUCUGUUUCCGGAGCAGGAGAUUGUGGGUUCGAGUCCCAUCCUGGUCG